UUCUGACCGUAAACGAUGCCAACUAGCGAUCCGCCGGCGGCUCCAAGGCCCUGGUGGGGAGCUUCCCGGAAACGAAAGUCUUCCGGUUCCGGGGGAAGUAUGGUUGCAAAGCUGAAACUUAAAGGAAUUGACGGAAGGGCACCACCAGGAGUGGAGCCUGCGGCUUAAUUUGACUCAACACGGGAAAACUCACCCGGCCCGGACACCGUGAGGAUUGACAGAUUGAUAGCUUUUUCAUGAUUCGGUGGUUGGUGGUGCAUGGCCGUUCUUAGUUCGUGGAUCGAUUUGUCUGGUUUAUUCCGAUAACGAGCGAGACUCCAGCCUACUAAAUAGUGCGGGCAUUGCCAUUGUGCCAUGCACUUCUUAGAGGGAUUGGCUGCGUCUAGCGGCACGAAACGGAGCAAUAACAGGUCUGUGAUGCCCUUAGAUGUCCGGGGCUGCACGCGCGCUACACUGGCAAAGGCAGCGUGCUUGUCCGUCUCCGAAAGGAGCCGGUAAACCCUUGAAAAUUUGCCGUGAUUGGGAUCGGAAAUUGCAAUUAUUUUCCGUGAACGAGGAAUUCCUAGUAAGUGCGAGUCAUCAGCUCGCGUUG
rnacentral:rRNA from 1 species